ACGGUGGUGGUGACGGUGCUGGGAGACCCCGCGUGCCCUUUCCCCUUGAGAUGUAAACCGGGGACGGAGAAGGGGCUGAGGGGAGAAAGGAUAUGGCCUCCCUCACGAGUCCAUGACCAGUGACUGUGGCCCGACCCGAAAACGACCCUCUUCUCAAAAGGAACCAUCACCGCCCCGAGCGCGCGAACAGAGACCGGUCGGAGGCGAGAAUUGGUCUUUUCAGGGCACAGUUCAGCUCCUCUGUGGAUGCGUCCCCAGAUCGCAGGAUUUCCAAGAAAUCGAGCCUGUCCCUUGUGCACUUGGGAAUAAUUCCCCAAGACAGCACUUCGGGAUUCCGGGUUAUCCGGAGGCUGCCCGGGACUUUUCCAGCUCUCCAGCCCCAGGUCUCCUGACAUUGUGUUUCAGGCUGCGGGCUAAGCCAGACAGUGUUUGCCUCCCGUUCUUUCCACCGAGGGAAGCGAACGCCACCCCCACCCGCCUUUGCCUCCGAGUCUCCCUCGCUGGCAGAAGGGAAGCCGACCUGGUCCCGGGAGGAAGAUGGCGCAGCGAAUUCGAAUUUUAGAACUGGAUCUUUGUCUCCUGGAUGCUCUUAGGAGACUCACCAAGCAGCAACCCCUGAUAUUGCAACUGGACCCCUCGACCUGGAUGAAUGUAUUCUUUUCAGCAACCAUAUGCUCCCUCCUGUUACCAGCCUAUAUCCAACAUGGGAGCACAGGCUAAUCCUGCAGUUGGCCAGCCUCUUGUCCUCUGGAUAUCCUGGGAGUGAAUCCCAAU